UGUAAGCGUAUACCAAAGUUGUUGCAGUUAAAACGCUCGUAGUCGGAAUUUGGCAGUUCCGGAUGUGUGCACGUCGUGUGCGCACUUCGCGGGGAUUGCUUUUGUGGUCUUGCGUAGGAUGAGGCACUUUUAUUAGUGAUCGUCCUCACGCAACCACUUUUUACUGUGAGAAAAUCAGAGUGCUCAAAGCAGGCAUUUGCCGUGAAUGUAUUAGCAUGGAAUAAUAGAAUAGGACUUGGUUCUAUUUUGUUGGUUUGUUGGGACUGAGUAAUGAUUAAGAGGGACAGUUGGGGGCAUUUGUAUUUCGGUGCUAGAGGUGAAAUUCUUAGAUUACCGAAAGACAAACUGCUGCGAAAGCGUCUGCCAAGGAUGUUUUCAUUGA
rnacentral:rRNA from 1 species